rnacentral:rRNA from 3 species
UACAGGGGGGGCAAGCGUUGUUCGGAAUUACUGGGCGUAAAGGGUUCGUAGGUGGCCACUUAAGUCAGACGUGAAAUCCCUCAGCUUAACUGGGGAACUGCGUCUGAUACUGAGUGGCUUGAGUGCAGGAGAGGAAUGCGGAAUUCCAGGUGUAGCGGUGAAAUGCGUAGAUAUCUGGAGGAACACCGGUGGCGAAGGCGGCAUUCUGGACUGUAACUGACACUGAGGAACGAAAGCCAGGGGAGCAAACGGG